rnacentral:rRNA from 1 species
GGUGGCGAAGGCGGCCCCCUGGACGAAGACUGACGCUCAGGUGCGAAAGCGUGGGGAGCAAACAGGAUUAGAUACCCUGGUAGUCCACGCUGUAAACGAUGUCGAUUUGGAGGUUGUGCCCNUGAGGCGUGGCUUCCGGAGCUAACGCGUUAAAUCGACCGCCUGGGGAGUACGGCCGCAAGGUUAAAACUCAAAUGAAUUGACGGGGGCCCGCACAAGCGGUGGAGCAUGUGGUUUAAUUCGAUGCAACGCGAAGAACCUUACCUACUCUUGACAUCCAGAGAACUUAGCAGAGAUGCUUUGGUGCCUUCGGGAACUCUGAGACAGGUGCUGCAUGGCUGUCGUCAGCUCGUGUUGUGAAAUGUUGGGUUAAGUCCCGCAACGAGCGCAACCCUUAUCCUUUGUUGCCAGCGGUUCGGCCGGGAACUCAAAGGAGACUGCCAGUGAUAAACUGGAGGAAGGUGGGGAUGACGUCAAAUCAUCAUGGCCCUUACGAGUAGGGCUACACACGUGCUACAAUGGCGUAUACAAAGAGAAGCGACCUCGCGAGAGCAAGCGGACCUCAUAAAGUACGUCGUAGUCCGGAUUGGAGUCUGCAACUCGACUCCAUGAAGUCGGAAUCGCUAGUAAUCGUAGAUCAAAAUGCUACGGUGAAUACGUUCCCGGGCCUUGUACACACCGCCCGUCACACCAUGGGAGUGGGUUGCAAAAGAAGUAGGUAGCUUAACCUUCGGGAGGGCGCUUACCACUUUGUGAUUCAUGACUGGGGUGAAGUCGUAACAAGGUAACCGUAAAUCGAAUUCC